GAUGAAGAACGUAGUGAAAUGCGAUACGUAAUGUGAAUUGCAGAAUUCAGUGAAUCAUCGAAUCUUUGAACGCAUAUUGCGCUCUCUGGUAUUCCGGAGAGCAUGCUUGUUUGAGUAUCAGUAAACACCUCAACUUCCAUAUCUUUUUUGAAAUGGGAGUUGGACUUGAGUGAUCCCAACGCUUUUCCUCACCGAAAAGUGGCGGGUUACUUGAAAUGCAGGUGCAGCUGGACUGUUCUCUGAGCUAUAAGCAUAUCUAUUUAGUCUGCCUAAAAAACAGAUUAUUACCUUUGCUGCAGCUAACAUAAAGGAGAUUAGUUCUUGUGCUGACUGAUGCAGGAUUCACAAAGACAGGCUUCGGCCGACUUUGUAAACUCGAUCUCAAAUCAAGUAAGACUACCCGCUGAACUUAAGCAUAUCAAUAAGCGGAGGA
rnacentral:misc_RNA from 1 species